rnacentral:rRNA from 1 species
GGGUUGUGAGGUUAAGCGACUAAGCGUACACGGUGGAUGCCCUGGCAGUCAGAGGCGAUGAAGGACGUGCUAAUCUGCGAAAAGCGUCGGUAAGGUGAUAUGAACCGUUAUAACCGGCGAUGUCCGAAUGGGGAAACCCAGUGCAAUUCGUUGCACUAUCGUUAACUGAAUACAUAGGUUAACGAGGCGAACCGGGGGAACUGAAACAUCUAAGUACCCCGAGGAAAAGAAAUCAACCGAGAUUCCCCAGUAGCGGCGAGCGAACGGGGAGCAGCCCAGAGUCUGAAUCAGCUUGUGUGUUAGUGGAACGGUCUGGAAAGUCCGACGGUACAGGGUGAUAGUCCCGUACACCAAAAUGCACAGGUUGUGAACUCGAAGAGUAGGGCGGGACACGUGGUAUCCUGUCUGAAUAUGGGGGGACCAUCCUCCAAGGCUAAAUACUCCUGACUGACCGAUAGUGAACCGUACCGUGAGGGAAAGGCGAAAAGAACCCGGCGAGGGAGUGAAAAAGAACCUGAAACCGUGUACGUACAAGCAGUGGGAGCACCUUCGGUGUGACUGCGUACUUUUGUAUAAUGGGUCAGCGACUUAUAUUCUGUAGCAAGGUUAACCGUAUAGGGGAGCCGCAGGGAAACCGAGUCUUAACUGGGCGUUAAGUUGCAGGGUAUAACCCGAAACCCGGUGAUCUAGCCAUGGCAGGUUGAAGUUGGUAACACUAACUGGAGGACCGAACCGACUAAUGUUGAAAAAUUAGCGGAUGACUUGUGGCUGGGGGUGAAAGGCAACAAACCGGGAGAUAGCUGGUUCUCCCCGAAAGCUAUUUAGGUAGCGCCUCGUGAACUCAUCUUCGGGGUAGAGCACUGUUUCGGCUAGGGGUCAUCCGACUUACCAACCCGAUGCAAACUACGAAUACCGAAGAAUGUUAUCACGGGAGACACACGGCGGGUGCUAACGUCCGUCGUGAAGAGGGAAACAACCCAGACCGCCAGCUAAGGUCCCAAAGUCAUGGUUAAGUGGGAAACGAUGUGGGAAGGCACAGACAGCCAGGAUGUUGGCUUAGAAGCAGCCAUCAUUUAAAGAAAGCGUAAUAGCUCACUGGUCGAGUCGGCCUGCGCGGAAGAUGUAACGGGGCUAAACCAUGCACCGAAGCUGCGGCAGCGACACUAUGUGUUGUUGGGUAGGGGAGCGUUCUGUAAGCCUGCGAAGGUGUGCUGUGAGGCAUGCUGGAGGUAUCAGAAGUGCGAAUGCUGACAUAAGUAACGAUAAAGCGGGUGAAAAGCCCGCUCGCCGGAAGACCAAGGGUUCCUGUCCAACGUUAAUCGGGGCAGGGUGAGUCGACCCCUAAGGCGAGGCCGAAAGGCGUAGUCGAUGGGAAACAGGUUAAUAUUCCUGUACUUGGUGUUACUGCGAAGGGGGGACGGAGAAGGCUAUGUUAGCCGGGCGACGGUUGUCCCGGUUUAAGCAUGUAGGCUGAUUGUCCAGGCAAAUCCGGAUAAUCAAGGCUGAGGUGUGAUGACGAGGCACUACGGUGCUGAAGUAACAAAUGCCCUGCUUCCAGGAAAAGCCUCUAAGCAUCAGGUAACAUUAAAUCGUACCCCAAACCGACACAGGUGGUCAGGUAGAGAAUACCAAGGCGCUUGAGAGAACUCGGGUGAAGGAACUAGGCAAAAUGGUGCCGUAACUUCGGGAGAAGGCACGCUGGUGUGUAGGUGAAGUCCCUGCGGAUGGAGCUGAGACCAGUCGAAGAUACCAGCUGGCUGCAACUGUUUAUUAAAAACACAGCACUGUGCAAACACGAAAGUGGACGUAUACGGUGUGACGCCUGCCCGGUGCCGGAAGGUUAAUUGAUGGGGUUAUCCGUAAGGAGAAGCUCUUGAUCGAAGCCCCGGUAAACGGCGGCCGUAACUAUAACGGUCCUAAGGUAGCGAAAUUCCUUGUCGGGUAAGUUCCGACCUGCACGAAUGGCGUAAUGAUGGCCAGGCUGUCUCCACCCGAGACUCAGUGAAAUUGAACUCGCUGUGAAGAUGCAGUGUACCCGCGGCAAGACGGAAAGACCCCGUGAACCUUUACUAUAGCUUGACACUGAACAUUGAGCCUUGAUGUGUAGGAUAGGUGGGAGGCUUUGAAGCGUGGACGCCAGUCUGCGUGGAGCCAACCUUGAAAUACCACCCUUUAAUGUUUGAUGUUCUAACGUUGGCCCCUGACCGGGGUUGCGGACAGUGUCUGGUGGGUAGUUUGACUGGGGCGGUCUCCUCCCAAAGCGUAACGGAGGAGCACGAAGGUUAGCUAAUCCUGGUCGGACAUCAGGAGGUUAGUGCAAUGGCAUAAGCUAGCUUGACUGCGAGCGUGACGGCGCGAGCAGGUGCGAAAGCAGGUCAUAGUGAUCCGGUGGUUCUGAAUGGAAGGGCCAUCGCUCAACGGAUAAAAGGUACUCCGGGGAUAACAGGCUGAUACCGCCCAAGAGUUCAUAUCGACGGCGGUGUUUGGCACCUCGAUGUCGGCUCAUCACAUCCUGGGGCUGAAGUAGGUCCCAAGGGUAUGGCUGUUCGCCAUUUAAAGUGGUACGCGAGCUGGGUUUAGAACGUCGUGAGACAGUUCGGUCCCUAUCUGCCGUGGGCGCUGGAGAAUUGAGGGGGGCUGCUCCUAGUACGAGAGGACCGGAGUGGACGCAUCACUGGUGUUCGGGUUGUCAUGCCAAUGGCACUGCCCGGUAGCUAAAUGCGGAAGAGAUAAGUGCUGAAAGCAUCUAAGCACGAAACUUGCCCCGAGAUGAGUUCUCCCUGAGACUUUAAGUCUCCUGAAGGAACGUUGAAGACGACGACGUUGAUAGGCCGGGUGUGUAAGCGCAGCGAUGCGUUGAGCUAACCGGUACUAAUGAACCGUGAGGCUUAACCUUACAACGCCGAAG